rnacentral:rRNA from 1 species
GGAGGGUGCAAGCGUUGUUCGGAAUUAUUGGGCGUAAAGAGCGUGUAGGCGGUCCGGUAAGUCAGAUGUGAAAGCCCUGGGCUCAACCCAGGAAGUGCAUUUGAAACUACCAGACUUGAGUACGGGAGAGGAGGGGGGAAUUCCCGGUGUAGAGGUGAAAUUCGUAGAUAUCGGGAGGAAUACCAGUGGCGAAGGCGCCCCUCUGAACCGAUACUGACGCUGAGACGCGAAAGCGUGGGGAGCAAACAGGAUUAGAUACCCUGGGUAGUCCACGCCGCAAACGAUGAGCACUAGGUGUAGCGGGUAUUGACCCCCCUGCUGUGCCCGUAGCUAACGCAUUAAGUGCUCCGCCUGGGGACUACGGUCGCAAGACUA